rnacentral:rRNA from 1 species
UGGGGAAUCUUGGACAAUGGGCGCAAGCCUGAUCCAGCCAUGCCGCGUGAGUGAAGAAGGCCUUAGGGUUGUAAAGCUCUUUUACCAGGGACGAUAAUGACGGUACCUGGAGAAUAAGCCCCGGCAAACUUCGUGCCAGCAGCCGCGGUAAUACGAAGGGGGCUAGCGUUGUUCGGAAUUACUGGGCGUAAAGCGCACGUAGGCGGGUCGUUAAGUCAGGGGUGAAAUCCCGGAGCUCAACUCCGGAACUGCCUUUGAUACUGGCGAUCUAGAGGUCGAGAGAGGUGAGUGGAAUUCCGAGUGUAGAGGUGAAAUUCGUAGAUAUUCGGAAGAACACCAGUGGCGAAGGCGGCUCACUGGCUCGAUACUGACGCUGAGGUGCGAAAGCGUGGGGAGCAAACAGGAUUAGAUACCCAUGUAGUCCCUGAGCGGGCUGGCAAGGCGCAU